rnacentral:tRNA from 1 species
GUCCCGGUCCGGAUCGGGCAGAUCCUCGACGAUCCGGCCGUCGGCGAGGAAGAGGGCGCGAUCGGCGUAGGAGGCGGCGACCGGGUCG